UGACCGAACCAGAACCAUCGAUUCUCCU
rnacentral:piRNA from 1 species